GAGAACAUAGAAGAGGAAGAAGAAGAGAA
rnacentral:sRNA from 1 species